GKCCUACGGGGGGGGCWGCAGUAGGGAAUCUUCCGCAAUGGGCGAAAGCCUGACGGAGCAAUGCCGCGUGAGUGAUGAAGGUUUUCGGAUCGUAAAGCUCUGUUGCCAGGGAAGAACGCUUGGGAGAGUAACUGCUCUCAAGGUGACGGUACCUGAGAAGAAAGCCCCGGCUAACUACGUGCCAGCAGCCGCGGUAAUACGUAGGGGGCAAGCGUUGUCCGGAAUUAUUGGGCGUAAAGCGCGCGCAGGCGGUCAUUUAAGUCUGGUGUUUAAUCCCGGGGCUCAACCCCGGAUCGCACUGGAAACUGGGUGACUUGAGUGCAGAAGAGGAGAGUGGAAUUCCACGUGUAGCGGUGAAAUGCGUAGAUAUGUGGAGGAACACCAGUGGCGAAGGCGACUCUCUGGGCUGUAACUGACGCUGAGGCGCGAAAGCGUGGGGAGCAAACAGGAUUAGAUACCCC
rnacentral:rRNA from 1 species